GUAAUACAACAGCCUGUUGUUCACCUCUCCCACCCCCCGCCCAUUUCUCAAGAUACUCUCUUCUUUUCUCUUAGAAGAUUGAAUAUGGGCAAUGUUGGCAUAUUUAUUUGCAUAUUUGAUAUAAAAAAUUUUGUUUUUAUUCCCCCCUUGGCCCCCAGUGAGGUGUGGAAGUAAGAGGAGGAAGAAGAAGAAAUACAUAAUAAUUUUUUUAAAGAUUGAUAAACUAAACCACUAUUUCUUCAAAUAACUAGUAAUUCAUUAAUGACAUAUAUUACAACUAUACAUUAAGUAAAAUGGCGUAUUCUUCCAAAUACCAAAAAUUUUAAUGAACUGUUGCAGAAAGAUGCCAGAAAACCUACACUACCUCAAGAAGAUCCAGAAUGAACUUUGGGUGUGGUUGAUUGAACUGAAGUUUGAUUGAACAUUUACUUGAAUUAUAUACUCUUACGCCAAAAGGGGACUGCCCCCUAAUUGGUUUUUGUCAAUGUGCCCAGCAAACAUUGGUUUUACUGUCUUUCUCUCUUCUAUUUCCCUCUUCUAUCUAACUAUUGUAAUCUCCUUUUAGAAGGUGAAAUUUUGUAUGCACCUGCAGUUAGAAAAAUUGGAAGUGCAGGAUGAUUAUGUUUAGUGAUCAAAUGGGAAGAGUAAUCUCCCAAUCAUCAUCAGUGGGGAUUGUGAAUUUUAACUUUACUCCAUCCUGCUUAGUCUAACAAAACAGCAAUGUCUAUACCCCUACUUAAGGAUUAAGUAUUGAGAAGGAUGGCCUAUGACAGAUAUGCUAACAAAUGACAAAUCAGAAACAACUGACAAACCCCUGGGCUGUCCCUAAGUCAAGCUUAAGCUGCCAUUGGUACAUGUGAGACACAGGAAGUGAUGUAAAAAUGGUCUAUAUGUUUUGCAUCACUUCCUCUCUUGGCCUCUUUGCGUGGAGAGGUGACUGGUGGCAGUGUGUUGAGGUCUUGGUGUCUUGGCAUGGUGGAAGCUAUUGUCUGGGUUUGGCGUGAAUGAGAAAACAAAUUUUGAAGUAAAAAGGAAGGUAAGGACAAUGAAUAAUCAAGGACAAUCUGACAAUUCUUCCAUGGAGGCCUUUCUCAUUCUUGUAAGGCUUAUUUACACUAUUGUUAAUGUUCCUUAAGGCAACUAUCAGCCUUCAGAAGAGGUGAGAGAAGAGAAGGAACAAAAAAGGAAUAGUGAUACAGAACAGGUUGCUAUAGGACAAUCAGUUUCUAGAAAUUUUUGUUUUAAACUGCAGGAAUAAUUUCAAAAAUUUGUAUCUAAUGAAAUUUUAAUUCAUCACAAUCCUUUGAGAACAAUGUAUUGGGUUUAAAGCAUUUUGGGGAGGUUAACAAUUUUUGGAAAUCUCUUUAGAAUGGACUGAUUUCAAGGUUAAUGUUUUAUUGAGAAUAACAGAGAACAAACUGAGAAUAAUUAAAUUUAUUUAAUAACUGAGGAAGUUAUAGAACCUAAGGGUCAUAAAGUUGAUGUAAAAAUCAUAAUUGUGGAGUAGCUAUAUAGCUCAGUGGAUAGAGAACUGGGCCUGGGUUGAUAUCUGAUCCCAGACACUUCUUAGCUACAGGACUCUGGGCAAGUUACUUAAACCCAACUGCCUAUCUCUUACUGUUCUUUUACCUUGGAAUCAGUCUUCAUAUUAAUUCUAUGACAGAAGGUAAGGGUUUUUUUUUUUUUAAGCAUAAAUAUGUGGGUGGAAUUUGAAACCAAAGAUGCUUUUCUGGAAGUUACUGGAAUUUGGCUUUUUGUGUGUUUUCAUUAGAUCUCCAAAGUAAGCGAGUUCCCUUGUGUAUCCUUUUUAUUAAAGAUUUAAGUUCUUUGAAAGCAAAGACUCUUCAUCUAUCCUCUUUGAAUACUCAACACAUAAGUGUCUCACAUACAAGAUAACAUUUGCAUGACUUAUAUCACCUUCAAGCAACUUCUACUGAGGAAGAGACAAUUCUGUAUUGGGACAUGUGAACCUUAGAAUGAGUAUAAUCUGAAAGAAUUUUAUGCUUAAAAAGACCACUUAUCCUUCCUCAAGAGGAGGAGAAUCAUUAGUCACUCGGGACAUCUAGCACUCAGAAAAGUGGGGGGACACAGACCCAGGAAAAGAUUAUAUGGCAUAAUGGGGGAAAAUGAUCAUGGAGAGGGCAAAAGGUGGUAAGGAACUUCAAAUCAAGGACAAAGGAAAAUUGCUAGCUAACAAAGGACAUUUCUAUCUCCUUUAUCACCUGCAAGAAUUUAUAUCUUGAAGAGACGCAAAAGAAAAAAAUGGAACAAGAUGCAAGAUCUACAAAGCAACAACAAAAAGAUAAUAUAGAAGAGGGAAUCCAAAAGAACACAGAGACUAAAGAGGGAAUAAGCAUUAAGUCUAGAAAUAUACAAAAAAGGGGAAGAGAAAUAAUGAAGAGAAAAAGCCAAAAAUGAAAAAAUUAACAAAACAAGUUCAUGAGAAAAAAAAGAAUAGAGAUUUUACUUGAAUCUUUAAGUAAGAAGAAAAAAAAGAAUUAGAUCACUAGUUGAAAGAAAGAAAAAGGAAUUAACAAAUUAAGCAAAACUACAGAUCUAGAAGAAAAGGUGACAAAAGAGGAGUUGGGCUUGAAGGUAAAGGGUUUCCUUAAAGUAGAUCAAGUUGAAAUAACAGAAGAGAGAAAGUAUUAUCUUUAUAGAAGAAAGGGGAAAAUACUACUAAGUAGGAAAAAAUCCAGUAGUAGAGACAAAUUGAGAAAUGUGUGAACCUAAAUCUCAUGACUUCAAGUAGAUUAAACAAUCCAAUUUAAAAAAUGACACAAAAUCUACUGCUUAUGAGAUGCAGACCUAAAAACACAAGCAUGCACAGAACAAGAGUAAAGGGCUGGAAUAAAAUCUACAACAAGCAAAUCCAAAAAAGUAGUACCUGAAAUUAUUCUCAGCAAAUCAAAAACAAAUAUUCACAAUAUAAAAAAAGAGAUAAACCAGAAAAUAUAUUAAACUUAUAUCCUCCAAAUGUCAUAGCAGCUAAAUUCAUAAAUAAAAAAAUUAAAAGAAUUAUAAGGAUAGUAAUAUAAUAGAUGAAGGAAUUUUUAAUGACCUUGUUCUGUUUUGGACAAAGCCAACAGAAAGAUAAGUAAAAGGAAAGAUAUAGAGUUGAACAAAUUGCUAGGAAGGUUAGAGCUAAAAAAAAAAAGACUUAUAGUAUCUUCUAUAUGGGAAUACUAAUAACCACAUUUCUUAGCACCACAUGAAACAUUUAGAAAAAAUGAUCAUAUAUUAGGGCACAGAGAUUCUACAAAUAUAUGCAAAAAGGGAGGAGGAGUAAACACAAACUUUUACAGACAAUAAUGGAAUAAAAUAGUGAUCAGUUCAGAGAAAAAUAGAAAAAGACUUAAAUGGAAACUUAAGUUGGUCAAAGAACAAAUUAUAUAUUCGAUUAAUUAUGUGAAAGACAAUGAUAAUGAUCAAGCAACAUAUUAAAAUUUAUGAGAUGCUGCUAAAGCAGUCUUCAGCAGGAAAAUUAAUCUUUACCAUACUGAAUUCUUUUACUCAUCUCUCCAUUUAUCUAAACCUCUGGAGCACUCUACAAGAAGUAUCUUAGAUAUUAAGAGAUAAUAGGAGAGGUUCACUCCAAAUUAAAAAACCUUUAUUCAAAAGUUGGUGGCAAGAAAAGCAGAAACCCCAGUACAAUUAAAUCAUGAAAAAAUAUACAAAAUCUUUAACCUCAAAACAAAAAGUGGGGACAAGGGCAUGCGAUUGGGGACAGAAAGCUAUACCUGUGAUUUCUUUAGUAUAGUUAACACCUAAUAGAGAGAUUUUUCUUUACCAAUAUAGAUCUUAGAGAAUUACCUAAGGCACUGAGAGGUAUAGUACUUGCUCCUAUCUGAAUAGUUUGUUUAUUUACAAGGUAAGACAAUAUUAGAACCCAGGUCUUCCUUACUAUAAGGUAAGUCAUCCAUUAAUCUCAACAAUCUGACUCUCCAAUUGAAAAUAAAAACUCAUAAAUUACAUAAUUAAGUAAAUCAUAAAUUUUGUAUCAUUUUUAUCACGUUUAUUAAUCAUCAAAACUAACAUGUUAUAAAA